AAAUAAAGUGCAGGAAACUGUUUCUACAAACAAAAGGGCAAGUUUAGUAACAGCAAUCCAUCCGCAACUAGACAUCACACCGAAAAGGUACUGUUUAAUAAAGUUGUUUCAGAACAGCCGAAAAGAAAAUUUUACCUAAUUUGCUUCAGAGAUGCAACAGGUAUGCAGAUAAUAAUCAGUUGUUACAGAUUCACCACUAUUUAGAUUUGUGAGUAGAAUGUAAUCAUACUAUGUUGGAAAGCAAUGUUUUAAUUUGAGUAAAUUGAAUUAUUUAUGAUGACUUUGAAGACGAUAUUGACUUUGAUGAGUCAAGUUAGUUUGAAUAACUACCCGCAAGUUAAAACUGGCCAAAAUUAUUUUCCCCAAAAUACCAAAUUGUAAAUGAAAGAAACUGCAAUUAAGAUAAGACAACAUUUAUGUAAAUGAAUUUACCAAAAGUAAACUGAAAUGCUUAACGUAACUGAAAGAAAUCAGCGUUAUUAUGUAUUCAUUAUUUCAUAAAAGAUAAUCAGGACUAGAUUAAGAUGUGUGAAAACAGCAGAGCUUUACGUGGCUAUAAGGGUUAAAAAAUAUAUCGACAAAAUGGGUUUUCGACGAGGUUUGCAGCCAAAGUAUGUAUAUGUGUAUAUAUAGCCACGUAAACUGGGUACUCGGCGUGUAGGUACAGAAAAAAAAACGACGAAAUGGUAUUCGACGUGUAGCGUGGCGCGGUUUGGGCAACAAAAAGGUUUCCGACGGGUUAACGCCAAGAAAGAAGUUAGCAAAUGGUUUUCGUCGCGUACGGUGCCGUCGGCGUCGUGUAGGUUCUGCAAAUGGCGGCGGUACCUCGUGUAGAUCUGCGUGACGCCGUGUAGACCUCCAAUGAGCGACGUGUAGAUGUGCACCUACACCGCAUAGAUCGCCGAGGUACGCCGUGUAGAUCGCGACCGUCGUGUAGACACAGCUUUAGCACACAAGAUAACGCCAAGCGCAGAAAUGAGUCAGCAUAUACUAUAGCUGAAAACAGAUAUUGUUGCGUCGAAUUUAGGUGAAUUGGCGUUGAUUUUACCCAAUGAUCCAAAUAACACAUAGAUCACAUAUCAAAUAUCGGUAACAGCAGUAAUUAAUUACUUAUACAUUAGAAUCGAUAAAGAGAAAAGAGACGGUGACAUGAAUUUAAUAAAGGAGAGAUUAAUCACACUACCGGACAAAAUAUUAACUUAUACUCAGAGGUCUUCUUUAUACAUUUGAAACUAUGCGACUAAUAUUUUUUACAGGUUUUUAGAACGUUUAUAUUUUAUAGUAUGUAUAUAACUGUUAUAACAGUAAAAAAAAUAUAAGUAAAAAAAAUGGCUUAAAAAAAACAAUAAGGAAACGUGUUAAAAGAAUAAGAAAAAUCUGCCAAAAAAUAAUAUGGUUGCCAUGAAAAAUAUUAAAACAUAAAGAAAAAAACAAAAAAAAUGGCUGAAAAAGAACAAAAAUAUAUAGAAAAAAUAUAAAACAAAAAGACAGCUGAAAAAAAUAAUAAUUAUGCCAACCAAAAAAACAGAUAAAAAAUAUUAAAAAAAUUAAAGGCAAUGGCUGCAAAGGCUAGGAUGACAAAUUGCUUUUCAGGGUCAAGAUUCAAGCAAGAAGACUCAAGACGAAGACUGAAGUUUCAAGACGAAGAAUGAAGACUCAAGACGAAGAAUGAAGACUCAAGACGAAGCAUGAAGACUCAAGACGAAGAAUGAAGACUCAAGACGAAGAAUGAAGACUCAAGAUGAAGAAUGAAGACUCAAGAUGAAGAAUGAAGACUCAAGACAAAGAAUGAAGACUCAAGAAGAAGAAUGAAGACUCAAGAUGAAGAAUGAGGACUCAAGACGAAGAAUGAAGACUCAAGACGAAGAAUGAAGACUCAAGACGAAGAAUGAAGACUCAAGAGGAGAACUGAAGACUCAAGACCUAAGAGAAGGAACGAAAUGAUUAUAAAAUAUAAUGCUAAAAGACCUUUAAAAAGACGAUUACUGAAAAAAAUACAAAAAAAUAAAAUUGAAAAAAAACAAAUAUGAAAAAUACGAAAAAAAUACCAAAAAGUAAUAUUGAAAAAAACACAUAUGUUCCUAAAAACAAAUAAAAAAAUAUAAAGAUAAAACUAGCCAAGGAUAGGUUAAAUUUGUUUUUCAGGAUCAAUAACGAAGAAUGAACAGUGAAAUCUCCAGAUUAAGGAAGAAGACUCAAGAUGAAGAACGAAGAUUCAAGAUGAAGAAAGGAGACUCAAGAUGAAAAAAGAAGACUCAAGAUGCAGAAAGAAGACUCAAGAUGAAGAAAGAAGACUCAAGAUGAAGAAAGAAGACUCAAGAUGAAGAAAGAAGACUCAAGUUGAAGAAACAAGACUCAAGAUGAAGAACGAAGACUCUAGAUGCAGAACGAAGCCCCAAGAUGAAGAACGAAGACUCAAGAUGAAUAAAGAAGACCCAAGAUGAAGAACGAAGACUCAAGAUGAAUAAAGAAGACUCAAGAUGAAGAACGAAGACUCAAGAUGAAGAACGAUGACUCCAGAUGAAGAAAGAAGACUCAAGCUGAAGAACGAAAAGUUGAAGAAUGAAGACAAAAUUGAAGACCUGAGGUGGGAUUUUAAUAAUGAUUUACAGGAUCGCCUUGUAAAAUAAUGAAUAACAGCAGAGUAAGAGGACAACAACUACACGCAGAAGAGGACGGCGGCUACGGCAGAGGAAGAGGACGGCGGCUACGGGCAGAGGAAGAGGACGGCGGCUACGGGCAGAGGAAGAGGACGGCGGCUACGGGCAGAGGAAGAAGACGGCGGCUACGGGCAGAGGAAGAAGACGGCGACUACGGGCAGAGGAAGAGGACGGCGACUACGGGCAGAGGAAGAAGAUGGCGACUACGGGCAGAGGAAGAGGACGGCGGCUACGGGCAGAGGAAGAGGACGGUGACUACGGGGGGAAGAAGAGGACGGCGGCUACGGGCAGAGGAAGAGGACGGCGACUACGGGCAGGCGGCGACUACGGGUGGAAGAAGAGGACGACGGCACCGGGCACCUGAAGAGGACGGCGGCGACGGGCAGUAGAAGAGGACGGCGGCGACGGGCAGAGGAAGAGGACGGCGGCUACGGGCAGAAGAAGAGGACGGCGGCGACGGGCACAGGAAGAGGACGACGGCUACACGCAGACGAAAAGGGACAACAUGGAAUGACCAGGAAAAGGAAGACACGACAACAUCGAGGAACAAGCCUACUACGGCGAAAAGAAGCGCAACGGCCACUACACUGCACUGCAGGUCUGCACCAUCGAAGGGGAAAAUCUUUCCAGACUCCCAGCUACGGUGAAGCUACCUAUUGGAGGAGACACUAGGACCAUCGGCUCCGGCGGAGAAGAGGACCUUCACCGAAUACGGCAACGAAGAAGGAAGGGCAGCAGAGGACCAGAAACUGCGGCGGCGAAGAGGGGCAGCGAGACGAAGAAAGAAGACAAGCCGGACAACGUAACAACUUCAGGCGGUGACGGUGGCGUAGACAACGUGGGCAUCUUCGUGGCAAUGGACUCUAGUCAUAGGUUGGUAUAAUUUACAACCGGUUUCUACUUCACAUCUGAAAUGUAAAGUAGAAACCGUUUCUUCACAGAUUCCAUCUUUACAGCUUGUAUGAAAAGGAAUGUAAUAAUAGAAGUAGGUAAGUAUCUAUUGAGCAUGAGAAUGGAAAUUCGACGGAAAAAAAUAAUAUGGCGAUUAUAAUUGGAUAUCCAAAAAACAGACAUACAUUUUACUAAAAUAAAAAUAAUCAUGUGAAGUACAAAAGAUCCGUAAUGUUGACACAAGACGUGUCCUUAUGAUGACGGAAGGCAAGACAAUUUAAAGAUAGCAAACGCAGAAGUAAUAUCAAGAGUUAUAAAAAGACCAGGAUACAAUUUAUUAAGUAAAUCUAUAUCAGGUUAAAGUAUUAUUUAAAAGUUAACUGAAGAUCCAAGAAAAACGAUGAUUAAAGAGAGAUACAAAAUGAUUACCUACUCAAAAAACAAUAUCAAGACACAAUACCCCAUGAGAUGCUAGAUGAAGACACAAAAAUGCAAGAUGAAGUGACAAGAUACAAGAUGAAGAUACAAGAUGAAGCCAAAAGAUGCAAGGAGAAGAUACGAGAUGAAGACACAUGAUGCCAGAUAAAGAUACAAUAUGAAGACUCAAGAUGCAAGCAGAAGACACAUAUGAUGCAAGAUGAAGAUUUAAAUUGAAAACUCAAGACACAAUAUACAAAAUAAUUACUCAAGAUUCAAAAUAAAUAAGAUACAAGAUGAAGACUUAAGAUGCAAGAUGCAAGAUGAAGACU